rnacentral:rRNA from 1 species
UAGAGUUUGAUCAUGGCUCAGGAUGAACGCUAGCGACAGGCUUAACACAUGCAAGUCGAGGGGCAGCGGGGCAGGAAGCUUGCUUUCUGCCGCCGGCGACCGGCGCACGGGUGAGUAACACGUAUGCAACCUGGCCGUGACAGAUGGAUAACCGGGAGAAAUCCCGCCUAAUACAGCAUGACGCCGGGAAGGGACAUCCCUUUCCGGCCAAAGGGGGCGACUCCGGUCACGGAUGGGCAUGCGGCGCAUUAGGUAGUUGGUGGGGCAACGGCCCACCAAGCCGACGAUGCGUAGGGGUUCUGAGAGGAAGGUCCCCCACAUUGGAACUGAGACACGGUCCAAACUCCUACGGGAGGCAGCAGUGAGGAAUAUUGGUCAAUGGCCGGAAGGCUGAACCAGCCAAGUCGCGUGAGGGAAUAAGGCCCUACGGGUCGUAAACCUCUUUUGUCAGGGAGCAAGGCCGCCCACGUGUGGACGGAAGGAGAGUACCUGGAGAAAAAGCAUCGGCUAACUCCGUGCCAGCAGCCGCGGUAAUACGGAGGAUGCGAGCGUUAUCCGGAUUUAUUGGGUUUAAAGGGUGCGCAGGCGGAAGAUCAAGUCAGCGGUAAAAUUGAGAGGCUCAACCUCUUCGAGCCGUUGAAACUGGUUUUCUUGAGUGAGCGAGAAGUAUGCGGAAUGCGUGGUGUAGCGGUGAAAUGCAUAGAUAUCACGCAGAACUCCGAUUGCGAAGGCAGCAUACCGGCGCUCAACUGACGCUCAUGCACGAAAGUGUGGGUAUCGAACAGGAUUAGAUACCCUGGUAGUCCACACAGUAAACGAUGAAUACUAAUUGUUCGGGGAGAAUGAUCCCUGAGUGAUACAGCGAAAGCGUUAAGUAUUCCACCUGGGGAGUACGCCGGCAACGGUGAAACU